rnacentral:rRNA from 1 species
UUCCAGACUCCUACGGGAGGCAGCAGUGGGGAAUAUUGCACAAUGGGCGAAAGCCUGAUGCAGCAACGCCGCGUGAAGGAAGAAGGCCUUCGGGUCGUAAACUUCUGUCCUUGGGGAAGAAGAACUGACGGUACCCAAGGAGGAAGCCCCGGCUAACUACGUGCCAGCAGCCGCGGUAAUACGUAGGGGGCAAGCGUUAUCCGGAAUUACUGGGUGUAAAGGGUGAGUAGGCGGCAUGGUAAGCCAGAUGUGAAAGCCUUGGGCUUAACCCGAGGAUUGCAUUUGGAACUAUCAAGCUAGAGUACAGGAGAGGAAAGCGGAAUUCCUAGUGUAGCGGUGAAAUGCGUAGAUAUUAGGAGGAACACCAGUGGCGAAGGCGGUCUGCUGGACAGCAACUGACGCUGAGGCGCGAAAGCGUGGGGAGCAAACAGGAUUAGAUACCCUGG